AGCUUUGCGCAGUGGCAGUAUCGUAGCCAAUGAGGUUUAUCCGAGGCGCGAUUAUUGCUAAUUGAAAAAAUAAAAAAUUAAAAUAAAGUGUCCACCACACCGAUACUCAGAGGAUGAAAGGGAUUUUUUUUCAUCCUGAGAAAUUUAAGGGAUUGCUAAACCAAUGCA
rnacentral:snRNA from 1 species